GACGAACGCUGGCGGCGUGCUUAACACAUGCAAGUCGAACGGAAAGGCACUGCUUUUUUGGGGUGCUCGAUUGGCGAACGGGUGAGUAACACGUGAGUAACCUGCCCUUCACUUUGGUAUAACUUCACGAAACUAGAGCUAAUACCAGAUAGGAGCUCCUCCUGCAUUGUGAGGGUUGGAAAUUUUCGGCGGUCGGGGAUGGACUCGCGGCUUAUCAGCUUGUUGGUGGGGUAGUGGCUUACCAAGGCUUUGACGGGUAGCCGGCCUGAGAGGGUGACCGGCGACAUUGGGACUGAGAUACGGCGCAGACUGCUAUGGGAGGCAGCAGUGGGGAAUAUUGCACAAUGGGCGGAAGCCUGAUGCAGCAACGCCGCGUGCGGGAUGACGGCCUGUGGGUUGUAAAAAGCAUUCGCCUGUGACGAAGCGUGAGUGACGGUAAUGGGUAAAGAAGCACCGGCUAACUACGUG
rnacentral:rRNA from 1 species